rnacentral:rRNA from 1 species
AUUGAACGCUGGCGGCAGGCCUAACACAUGCAAGUCGAACGAGUGGCGGACGGGUGAGUAACGUCUGGGAAACCGCCUGAUGGAGGGGGAUAACUACUGGAAAAGGUAGCUAAUACCGCAUUCCAUCGGAUGUGCCCAGAUGGGAUUAGCUAGUAGGGGGGGUAAAGGCUCACAUGGGCGACGAUCCCUAGCUGGUCUGAGAGGAUGACCAGCCAAACGGGAACUGAGACAGGGUCCAGACUCCAACGGGAGGCGGCAGUGGGGAAUAUUGCACAAUGGGCGCAAGCCGGAUGAAGCAAUGCGGGGUGUAUGAAGAAGGCUUUCGGGUUGUAAAGUACGUUCAGCGGGGAGGCGUUACCCGCAGAAGAAGCACCGGCUAACUCCGUGCCAGCAGCCGCGGUAAUAC